rnacentral:rRNA from 1 species
AACGAACGCUGGCGGCAGGCUUAACACAUGCAAGUCGAGCGAGACCUUCGGGUCUAGCGGCGGACGGGUGAGUAGCGCGUGGGAACGUGCCCUUCUCUACGGAAUAGCCCCGGGAAACUGGGAGUAAUACCGUAUACGCCCUUUGGGGGAAAGAUUUAUCGGAGAAGGAUCGGCCCGCGUUGGAUUAGGUAGUUGGUGGGGUAAUGGCCCACCAAGCCGACGAUCCAUAGCUGGUUUGAGAGGAUGAUCAGCCACACUGGGACUGAGACACGGCCCAGACUCCUACGGGAGGCAGCAGUGGGGAAUCUUAGACAAUGGGGGCAACCCUGAUCUAGCCAUGCCGCGUGAGUGAUGAAGGCCUUAGGGUUGUAAAGCUCUUUCAGCUGGGAAGAUAAUGACGGUACCAGCAGAAGAAGCCCCGGCUAACUCCGUGCCAGCCGCCGCCGUAAUAC